rnacentral:lncRNA from 1 species
CUGUUUUUAUGAUAUUUAGAAUGUCACGAAAAGCUAUCAGUAUUGUUCAUGGUGGUAAACGAAACUCUGGAUGCUAUAUUUGGAGAUGUUGAUAACAUUUCCCCAAGACUAGAUAUAUUAUCAACUCUUUAUUUCCCUUGGCACUACUUAAUGUGACACCAGUAUAUUUCCAGAAUGACAUUCCUGUCAAAUUAUUUUUAGAGAUGAAAGUAGGCUACAAAGUUCUUUGUAAACAUUAAUGCAAAACUCAACAGAGUAACCUGAAAUCAAAUGUGUGGCUAAACAAGCAUUUAUUCAUGUUUGAACUGUUUUUUUACAUUUUUGUUUGAGUUAUGAACAUUAUAAAUUGAAGUACAAUU